CGGCAUGCCUUACACAUGCAAGUCGAACGGUAACAGGGAGCUUGCUCCGCUGACGAGUGGCGAACGGGUGAGUAAUACAUCGGAACGUGUCCUGUAGUGGGGGAUAGCCCGGCGAAAGCCGGAUUAAUACCGCAUACGAUCUACGGAUGAAAGGGGGGGAUUCUUCGGAACCUCUCGCUAUAGGGGCGGCCGAUGGCAGAUUAGCUAGUUGGUGGGGUAAAGGCCUACCAAGGCGACGAUCUGUAGCUGGUCUGAGAGGACGACCAGCCACACUGGGACUGAGACACGGCCCAGACUCCUACGGGAGGCAGCAGUGGGGAAUUUUGGACAAUGGGCGAAAGCCUGAUCCAGCAAUGCCGCGUGUGUGAAGAAGG
rnacentral:rRNA from 1 species